GACGAACGCUGGCGGCGUGCUUAACACAUGCAAGUCGAACGGAAAGGCCCUGCUUUUGUGGGGUGCUCGAGUGGCGAACGGGUGAGUAACACGUGAGUAACCUGCCCUUGACUUUGGGAUAACUUCAGGAAACUGGGGCUAAUACCGGAUAGGAGCUCCUGCUGCAUGGUGGGGGUUGGAAAGUUUCGGCGGUUGGGGAUGGACUCGCGGCUUAUCAGCUUGUUGGUGGGGUAGUGGCUUACCAAGGCUUUGACGGGUAGCCGGCCUGAGAGGGUGACCGGCCACAUUGGGACUGAGAUAGGGCCCAGACUCCUACGGGAGGCAGCAGUGGGGAAUAUUGCACAAUGGGCGGAAGCCUGAUGCAGCAACGCCGCGUGCGGGAUGACGGCCUUCGGGUUGUAAACCGCUUUCGCCUGUGACGAAGCGUGAGUGACGGUAAUGGGUAAAGAAACACCGGCUAACUACGU
rnacentral:rRNA from 1 species